rnacentral:rRNA from 1 species
GGACUACUGGGGUAUCUAAUCCUGUUCGCUCCCCUAGCUUUCGCACCUGAGCGUCAGUUACCAGCCAGGACACUGCCUUCGCCUUUGGUAUUCCUCCGGAUAUCUACGCAUUUCACCACUCCACCCGGAAUUCUAUGUCCCUCUCUGGUCCUCAAGUCCGACAGUUUUCAGAGGCCUUGCCCAGUUAAGCCGGGCACUGUCACUCCAAACUUGCCAGACCGCCUGCGUGCGCUUUACGCCCAGUAACUCCGGACAACGCUUGCCCCCUACGUAUUACCGCGGCUGCUGGCAC